CUCUGUAGACCAGGCUAGCCUCAGACCCAGAGACCCUUCCGGCCUCUGCCUCCAGAGUGCCACUUCAUCAGGCUCAGUUUGGUUCUUUUGUGCAGGAGCUAGGAAGUGAAGAGGGCUUCCUCUUGUGGGCUUCCUUCUGUGAGUUUUAUUAUUUUUGCAUAUGCAUGUCUGUUUGGAUGCCCUUGGAGAUCAGAGGAGUUUUGAACUUCUGGAGCUGGACUUAGAGAUGGCUGGCUGUGAGCCACACACCGUGGGUCCUAGGCACUGAACUGGAGUCUACUCCAGCCGCGGCUUUGUCAGCGCAGUCACAGAGCACUCUGCCAGAGCAGCAGUGUACAGGCACAGCGGAGAGCACCUGGUGCAGUCUGCAUUCCCCUUUGUCAAUGGAUAUAAAUGGAAACUGGUUUUGAGCUACUAAGUAAAAGG
rnacentral:lncRNA from 1 species